rnacentral:pre_miRNA from 1 species
GGAUUUUUGGAGAUCUAACUUUCUCUGAACUCUCCCCCUCAACGGCUACUCUAGCUUCUCUCAAAUUUCAAGCGUUUUGGCGUACUUAGCAGUUGAGGUGAGGAGUUCAGCAAAAGUUGGCUCUCGUGUAAUUAUG